GGAUAACUGCCCUUGGGACCGGCAUAACCCCGGGAAACUGGGGAUAAUUCCGGAUAACGCAUAUUUGCUGGAAUGCUUUAUGCGUCAAAAGGAUUCGUCUGCCCAAGGAUGGGUCUGCGGCCUAUCAGGUAGUAGUGGGUGUAAUGUACCUACUAGCCAGCGACGGGUACGGGUUGUGAGAGCAAGAGCCCGGAGAUGGAUUCUGAGACAUGAAUCCAGGCCCUACGGGGCGCAGCAGGCGCGAAAACUUUACAAUGCGGGAAACCGUGAUAAGGGGACACCGAGUGCCAGCAUCAUAUGCUGGCUGUCCGGAUGUGUAAAAUACAUCCGUUAGCAAGGGCCGGGCAAGACCGGUGCCAGCCGCCGCGGUAACACCGGCGGCCCGAGUGGUGAUCGUGAUUAUUGGGUCUAAAGGGUCCGUAGCCGGUUUGGUCAGUCCUCCGGGAAAUCUGAUAGCUCAACUAUUAGGCUUUCGGGGGAUACUGCCAGACUUGGAACCGGGAGAGGUAAGAGGUACUACAGGGGUAGGAGUGAAAUCUUGUAAUCCCUGUGGGACCACCUGUGGCGAAGGCGUCUUACCAGAACGGGUUCGACGGUGAGGGACGAAAGCUGGGGGCACGAACCGGAUUAGAUACCCGGGUAGUCCCAGCCGUAAACGAUGCUCGCUAGGUGUCAGGCAUGGCGCGACCGUGUCUGGUGCCGCAGGGAAGCCGUGAAGCGAGCCACCUGGGAAGUACGGCCGCAAGGCUGAGACUUAA
rnacentral:rRNA from 1 species